GGCAGGAGAUCCGCCAUAUUGGAUUCUCCGUCUCAUCAACGGUUCUCCGACAAAUAGCUCAUACAAUCAUUUAAAGUAUUUCUCUUUAAUUUAAAGUUUCAAUUCUUCGUCUGCAACAGAUGUCUAAUAACAGCCGACAGAAAGACCAAACACCGAGUCACCUUCUUACUUUUAACAGAGAAUUGAUUCAGGAGGCCAACGCGAACCGCCAUUCCCGCCGGUGUAACAUAACGGAAUUGACCCGCUCUUCAUAAUAUAACCAAUAAUACGACACGUGGUGGGUGUGAAUUGGUUUUAUACGAUGCAGUUAACCGUUAAUUGAAUGAUCAUUUCAAUCGGCCUGCCGACCGCCGAGCCGUGGUGACCAUCUGGGGGCGCUCCAGCUCCAUUUCCCCGGCAGCCUGUAAGCUAGCUGCCGCUACUUCACCGCCGGCUCCGGGGAUUCCUGUGGCGGAGGUUCCUGGCGCGGCCGACAGAGAGAGAUGGAAGACCGCCACUGCGGGGGAAAAGCCCGAGGAACCUGAGCAGACGCGAGACCGGGAGGGAGGGAGACGGAGGGAGAAACGAAGACGCGCACAUUCGCACCGAGGCGGAGACCGCAAAGCCUGGGAUAGAAGCGGCCAUUACGGCGGGGAAGCACGCUGGAGCUCAGGCGGCUCGCCUCGGAUCCGCAGGACGCCGACACAGCCCGGGAUAGCGAGCCAGGGGAGCUCCGCUCAUUUUGGGGACGGAAACGGACACACUGCCCCCCCCCCUCUCCUCUAGGGACUCUCAGCUGGGGUGUGAGGGAUUUACUCCUUCACACACACACAGGAGGAGCACAGCGCAGCAGUCACCGGGUGGACGCCGAUAUUAAAGGAGGGACUGGUCCGAGAAGCCCCGCCGGGUGAUGCCGCUGUGUGUCCCGCACGCCGCGGCAAUGGAUAGAGCCUUUAUGUAACCUUCAUCCAAACACAUUCCCCCGUCGCCAGACUCCUGGCUUUUGUUGUCCUUUUGUAUUGUCUUAAGUCCCCCCCCCCCGCAAGGAUUAUCUAAGCUCGGAAGUGAGGUACGAGGCUCUUUCUGUGCGUCAAUGCAUCGGAUUCGUUAGUCCCUCGCAAGGUGGUGUUGUGUGGGACGCAGAGCGGAAGGAGCCGGAGUCACUGCGGUAGUCUGCAGGCCGACCCCCCCCUCCACUCCACUGCCUGCCCGGCUCGCACAUCCACCAUGGCCGGGUUCACACCGGGGCUACUGCCGACGAACCGGUCCCAGGAGAAGGAGUUCGCCCAGGCGUACGAGGACGUGUUGGAGCGAUAUAAAGGAAUGCUGAGAGAAUAUGAAAAUACUUUGGCUAAAAAGCCUUGAGGCGUGUGUCUGGAAGUUGAUCUUCUGGCCGAAGCUCGUCUGCCGCUUUCAUGACCUGGAUGGUUUCUCUGUUUGCAUAAACCGAACAGAACAGGGCUCCGAUCUGCAUCUCCCGCUGAUGUCUCCUCCACCCAACGCUUGUUUUGCCCUGUGUCCGCUGUUUGCCCUGUAAACAGGACGCUGACGUGUGUGUGUGUGUGUGUGUGUGUGUGUGUGUGUGUGUGUGUGUGAGAGAGAUAAUGGGG
ensembl:lncRNA